GUCGUGAGAUGUUGGGUUAAGUCCCGUAACGAGCGCAACCCUUGUCCUUAGUUACCAGCACGUUAUGGUGGGCACUCUAAGGAGACUGCCGGUGCAAACCGGAGGAAGGUGGGGAGUGACGUCAAGUCAUCAUGGCCCUUACGGCCUGGGCUACACACGUGCUACAAUGGUCGGUACAAAGGGUUGCCAAGCCGCGAGGUGGAGCUAAUCCCAUAAAACCGAUCGUAGUCCGGAUCGCAGUCUGCAACUCGACUGCGUGAAGUCGGAAUCGCUAGUAAUCGUGAAUCAGAAUGUCACGGUGAAUACGUUCCCGGGCCUU
rnacentral:rRNA from 1 species